AAAAAAUCUCCUUUCAUCUUCUAUUUCUACUCCUUGAUUUUUCGUGUCAGGUCCAAAUGAAGGCCUUCUCUCCUCAAUGUCAGUGAAACUUUAGUUAUUUAUUUAUUUAUCUAUCAAUAAGCCUCAGAGCUAAAAAAAUGGCAUAAGCCUUAAAAUAUCAAUAAGAAACUUAAAAAUGGCAUAAGCCUUAAAAUAUCCUUAGUGCAUGACAAAGGAUACCCAUACAUUUAACAACUUGAACUCAAGCCCCUAGAAGAUUCAGAGUAUUUAAAUGUACUGGGAAAGGCACCUAACAUUUUGAAAUUGGUUAGCAUAAAUGAUGUAGGAAAUUCAGGAGAGAAUACCAGGUAUGUCACUUUUAUUUUCUUUUAUUAUUAUUGUUUUUUUUAAUGAAAACUUUUAGAGGGUGAAUUUAAUAGUAUGGUUUGAAUAUCUA
rnacentral:lncRNA from 1 species